rnacentral:rRNA from 1 species
ACGACCUCAAAUCAGGCAGGA